AUAUUUUUUUGUUCUUUAAUUUUAAUUUUCUGUCAUAGAAACAUCUUAAUAGAAAGUAAAGGCGAUUGAAAUCUUUAUAUUAACAAAAGUACUGCAAAGGAAAAAUAAAAAUAUAACUUAGUAUAAAUUAAAUUUAGUACCUUUUGCAUCAUGGUUUAACGAAAUUCUUAUAAUAUUAUAUUUACUAGAAAACAAGAGAGCUAUAAAAAAACAGACGUUAGUGUAGAAAUACUAUGUUUAGAUUUUUUUAUAGAUGUGAAAUGCUUUUCGUUCUUAUUGAUAGCUAGCUAGAAGAGAAAUAUAUUUUAGUAUAGAUAAAAUUUUUCCUGGCUGGAUUUUAACUUCCUUCAGUAUAAAUUUUAUUUCCCCUAAAAGAGGAUAAGCUCUUUUAGGAAAAAGAAACUUUGAUAACUAAUAAUUAAUAAAAAUGUAGGCUUAAUGGUGGCAAACAUAAAAAUAGUUUUAUAACACUAAAAAACAAUAAAUUAUUAUUUUAGUUCUUUUUGUAUCUUCUUAUUUUUUGAAACUAAAACAAAAUUAUAGUUUAUGUUAAAAUGAGUAUUAAUUAUUCUUAUUGUUUUAACUUAUAAACAAAAAAACAUAAAAUAUCUUAUAUAUAUAAAUAUAAAAAAGGAACUCGGCAAAUUUUAGCUUCGCCUGUUUAUCAAAAACAUCGCUCUUUGAAAGUCAUAUAUAAAGAGUCGUACCUGCCCAGUGGAGAUUCUCAACGGCCGCAGUACCCUGACUGUGCAAAGGUAGCAUAAUCAAUUGCCUUAUAAUUGAAGGCUAGAAUGAAUGGUUUAACGAAAGCUAAGCUGUCUCUUUUAUAUUAAAUAAAAAUUAUCUUUUAGGUGAAGAGACCUAAAUAAAAUUGAUAGACGAAAAGACCCUAUUGAGCUUCAGAAAAAAAUAAAAAUUAUAUAGAUUUUCAAAUAAAAUUAACUUUUUUUCUUUUGUUGGGGCGACAGAAGAACAAAAAAAGCUUCUUCUUAUUAACUUAAUUAAUAUAUUAAUUGAUCCACUAUUAAUUGUGAUUAAAAGAAAAAGUUACCAUAGGGAUAACAGCGUAAUCUUUUUGGAGAGCUCUUAUUGAAAAAAAGGUUUGCGACCUCGAUGUUGGAUUAAGAAAACUUUUAGGUGCAGUAACUAUUAAAAGUUGGUCUGUUCGACCAUUAAAUUCUUACAUGAUCUGAGUUCAGACCGGCGUGAGCCAGGUUGGCUUCUAUCUUCAAUUUAAAUUAAAGUAAAUUAGUACGAAAGGACCAUUUUCUUUAAAAUUAUUAUACCUUUGAAACUCUUUAAUCAUAGAAUA
rnacentral:rRNA from 1 species